rnacentral:tRNA from 1 species
GCCUGGCUGGCUCAGUCGGUAGAGCAUGCGACUCUUAAUCUCAGGGUUGUGAGUUCAAGCCCCACACUAGGCG